rnacentral:tRNA from 1 species
GCCCGGGUGGCGGAAUUGGUAGACGCUGCGGACUUAAAAUCCGCUGAUCGAAAGAUCGUGCCGGUUCGAGUCCGGCCCUGGGCACCA